CCCUUAGAUGUCCGGGGCUGCACGCGCGCUACACUGAAGGAAUCAGCGUGCUAAAACCAUUGUCGAAAGGCAUUGGUAAACCCAUUAAAAUCCUACGUGAUUGGGAUCGGGAAUCGCAAUUAUUUCCCUUGAACGAGGAAUUCCCAGUAAGUGUGGGUCAUAAGCUCGCGUUGAUUACGUCCCUGCCCUUUGUACACACCGCCCGUCGCUGCCCGGGACUGAGCCGUUUCGAGAAAAGCGGGGACUGCUGCUGUCGGGGCUUUCGGGCCUUGGCUUCGGUGGAAACCGCUUUAAUCGCAGUGGCUUGAACCGGGCAAAANUCGUANCA
rnacentral:rRNA from 1 species